rnacentral:rRNA from 1 species
ACUCAAAGGAAUUGACGGGGCCCCGCACAAGCAGUGGAUUAUGUGGUUUAAUUCGAAGCAACGCGAAGAACCUUACCAGGGCUUGACAUGGAGACUGCCGCUCUAGAGAUAGAGCUUCCCUUCGGGGGGUCUCACACAGGUGGUGCAUGGUUGUCGUCAGCUCGUGUCGUGAGAUGUUGGGUUAAGUCCCGCAACGAGCGCAACCCCUAUUGUUAGUUGCUACGCAAGAGCACUCUAGCGAGACUGCCGUUGAUAAAACGGAGGAAGGUGGGGACGACGUCAAAUCAUCAUGCCCCUUAUGUCCUGGGCUACACACGUAAUACAAUGGCGUAUAACAGAGGGAAGCAAAACAGUGAUGUGGAGCAAAUCCCUAAAAGACGUCUCAGUUCGGAUCGCAGGCUGCAACCCGCCUGCGUGAAGUCGGAAUUGCUAGUAAUCGCGGAUCAGCAUGCCGCGGUGAAUACCGUUCCCGGGGCUUGUACACACCGCCCGU